GAUGAACGCUGGCGGCGUGCCUAAUACAUGCAAGUCGAGCGAACAGACGAGGAGCUUGCUCCUCUGACGUUAGCGGCGGACGGGUGAGUAACACGUGGAUAACCUACCUAUAAGACUGGGAUAACUUCGGGAAACCGGAGCUAAUACCGGAUAAUAUAUUGAACCGCAUGGUUCAAUAGUGAAAGACGGUUUUGCUGUCACUUAUAGAUGGAUCCGCGCCGCCUUAGCUAGUUGGUAAGGUAACGGCUUACCAAGGCGACGAUGCGUAGCCGACCUGAGAGGGUGAGCGGCCACACUGGAACUGAGACACGGUCCAGACUCCUACGGGAGGCAGCAGUAGGGAAUCUUCCGCAAUGGGCGAAAGCCUGACGGAGCAACGCCGCGUGAGUGAUGAAGGUCUUCGGAUCGUAAAACUCUGUUAUUAGGGAAGAACAAAUGUGUAAGUAACUAUGCACGUCUUGACGGUACCUAAUCAGAAAGCCACGGCUAACUACGUG
rnacentral:rRNA from 1 species